rnacentral:lncRNA from 1 species
GAUGAGCUGGGUGUCGACGGCCUCGCGCUCGACGUCCCAGAUGGUGCAGGUGGUGUCGAUGGAGGAGGUACCGAUGCGGCGCGGGUCGGCGUCGUUCCAGUCGAAGGAGGUGAGCGGGCCGCAGUAGUCGCUGUUGCGGUUACCGUUGAGCUCGCAGCGCAGCUCGAUGCCCGGCUGCGGGGUGCCGUUGCAGCGGACGGAGCCGUUGUUGUUGUUGGCAGAGGCGGCGCCGUCGUCGGCGUCGUCGGGGGACGGGAUGCGCCAGAUGCGCAGGUGGUCGGCGGAGGUGGCGAGCAGGUCGGGGCGGAGCGCGUGCGGGUCCGGCAUGAACAUGGUCUUGGUGGGCGGGUACUGGUGGUCGAAGGUGAGGACGGGGGCGAUGUCGCCCGAGGCCUCGUCGAGCUGGACGACCUCGACGCGGUUGGUGACCUGCUCGAGAAGGCUGGCGAUGGCGAGCCGGUACUUCUUAUCGCGGCGCACGCUCCAGUUCAUCGCGUAGAUGUGCCAGGCGGCCUCGUAGGUGUAGAUCUCCGACCGCUUCGCCUCGCCGCCGCCGCCGCCGCCUACACCUCGGCUGCCCCCGCCGUUGCCCUGCUCCUGAUCCGCCCAAGCAUCGCCUUCGCCGGCUCCGCCCAUGGCUCCGCCGCCCUUCGCCGCCGCCGCCGCUGCCGCUGCUAUGGAAGGAAGGGAGUCGAGGUGGAUAGGGGAAGGGAGCGGAUUUGGGGGUUUCUGUCAGUUGAGGGGAAGAGAGGAAACGAGACGACUGAUUGAUAGCGGUGUGCAAUGAAAGCGUCGCGUUUUUCUUGAGCUUCUCUGGGCUGGGCCUUUGCGCUUUCCGCGAGGAGAUGGUAGGUGGCCCAGUUGGCUCUGUAGGCUGGGUUUGCGACUUUGCGCUGCUAAAGCCUUCCGUGUGAUUUUUUUCAACUCCCAUCGCACGAAUAUUUAGAUAGACAAUUCUUACAAACUGCCAUAUAGAAAAUUCUAGAGGCUGUCAUGUUUGUUUGAGUGGAGCAAAGGAUAUUAAAUACAUCAUCUUUCAGUGUGAUAGAGCAAAGGAAGUGUUGACGGACAGCUUUAUCUAUUGUUGCCUAUAAAAUGGCGAUGAAGAAAGAAGCAAUUGUGCAAAAAGGGUGUCAAAAACCUCCUGAAGGAAUGAUCAUGAUUAAUGUGGAUGCAUCGUUUGAUGAUGAGGAGUGUUGAAGCACAUGAGUUGUAAUUCGAGAUCACUCACGAGGAGUGAUUGCAGCAGCGCAUAGCUUUGUUUCCCAUGUAAUUGAUGCGCCUAUGGUUGAAUCAUAUGCAUUAAAGAAAGGUCUUUUGCUGGCACAACAUAUUGGAGGUAAUAGACUUAUCAUUCAGUCAGACUGUAUGGAGGUGGUAGAAACGAUGAAAGACGGAGUUUUUUCAGCAAACUCAGCGACUGCUAUCUAUGAUGAAUGCAUUAUUAUAUGGAGCGGGUUCCAGGAAAUCUCCAUUGAGCACUGCAAAAGUGAUGCUAAUUGUGUAGCGCACGAGUUGGCAAGGCGAGCUAAGCAAACAAAUAAAGAUUGUAUUUGGGAUGAUGAGCCAUCUAGUUUCAUUAAUGAGUUUGUAAAGAGAUGUAACUAUCUUCAAUUAAUAAAGCUUGCGUAUGCUUUGUUAAAAAAAUUAUUAUUUAUAAAAUUAAAAAUACAGCUAGAAAAUAAUUUGCGAGACGAAUUUUUUUAAUCUAACUAGUUCAUAAUUGAACACUAAUUAUCAAAUAAAAUAAAAUAUUGUAGUACCCGUUAAAUUUUAACACCCCAACAAAACACCCUCUAAAACUAGUUGAUGACAAUAUUCAAAGUUAACAACGGAGUAAGGAGGCCCGUCGCUGAAAACAUUGUAACAUCCUGCUUUAUCCUCUUUUAGAGAAAUCAGACUAUUUUAUUAGUAUAAUAAUCAUUCUAAGAUGAUAGAAUCGAGCUUACAAAAGAAAACUGGCUAAAACUCAAUUCCGAAAAUUAAAGAACAUCCAUAGAACACAAACAAACACAUUGUCGCAGUCUCUAGCUUGUAGCAAGCCUCUAACACAACCUCAUAUGUCUCGCAUCACUACAACUAUGCCCAGAGACGAAGCCAAUGUGUCCCAAGAGUUUUGUUGUGUCAACAUUCUUCAAAAACAACUCCAUUUCGUGUUUGUCAAAUGGACCAACAAAUCACCGUUCCUCCUAUACCAAUAAAAAGCAUCUAAAAGUUUUAUCCGUAUUGUGACACCAAUUAUCAAAUUAUAUGGAAUAUAUAUACUAUAGAAAAGAUUUGCAAUAUUUUUUAUACCAAAUAUAUACUAUAGAAAAUACAUUUUACCAAUUUUAUAAAAAAUAUGCAGUCUAAGUGUGACCAAAGGGUGCAUUUUCUAUCUCAUCUUCAAUAAACUAUGUGUGCAUACUAAUUUAUCAGUUUGAGUAUAUUUAUAUACUUAUUUUAAGAUAUUUUAAAUCUCAGUACGCGCAAAUUUUCAAAAGAACCCAUACCUUUUAGUAUAUUACUGAGAUACCACUACAAUACUAUAUAAAAUAAGUAUGCAUACUUACAUACUUAACAUAGAUAUUAUCCUAGAUGGUUUAGUAUGAUCAUAUACUACAUCUACAUACACUUCAUCAGGUCAUAUAUGCUCUAAGUCUAGAGAUAUACACAUGGGAGUAACUACUCCCUUGGGAUAUAUUUCUUGACCAAUCUAAUAACACUAUUUGAUAUCAUGUUUUUUGUAUUUUUAUAUGAACUUAUAAUCAAACAUAAAAUUGUUUGACUUGGUAGGACAUCCGGGCGCAUCGCUGUUGUCAGGACUAAAGUAUUCAAGUUAUCACCUUUGCCGAUAGUAAGGUCAAAUCGGCUGGCACGCCUUAACGUUUGAAUCGGGUAUUAGCCCUUUGUGUUUGCAGAUCAGUUUUUGCAUCAACAGGCUCAAGAAGCAUAGAAAAUCAAAACACAUGAUAACAAUUUUACGAAAUCCAUUAUUUAUUUAGUCCAAAUCAUAAUUGCUAUCCAUAGAAACUCGUAUAUGUAAGCACAUAAACGAAACUGCUACAGUAUCCCGACCCAAAAAAUUUUGGAAACUAAACAAGGCCCUUGUCAAUCUACUCGCCUGCUAACGCAGAUGCAGACUUGAAAACGUCGAGACAAACGCCUGCUGCGGCCGCCAUGCAUGACGCAGAUGCAGGACUUGGCCUCCCGAGGGAUGUUGGCACCCAGCUUCUCCUCCAGGGGCUUCAAGGUCUCGAGGACAGCCAUCACUUCCGAAGCUCGCCAAGCCGCACGAGCGGCCAGGAGCUCAGACGCCGAAGCAUCUACCAACGUCGGCAGCGCUCCGGAUGCGUCGUUGGCAGGGAAGACGACGGCCGAGCCCCGUGGUGGGCCUAGUGGCGAGGAGGAGAUAAGAGGAGGGAUGGAGUGGCUGGUAGACCGUCACCAUCGAUGCUCCAGGAGGCGAGCACGGUGCUCAUCCAGGGGUGGCGAGCUGCACACGCGACGGCCGGGCUCCAGGGUGGGUUGCGACGGGGUGGUUGGGGGUGGCGGCGGAUAGGGUGGCUGGAUAGGUGGGAUUAGGGUUUGGGGUAUAUAUAUAUUGGGUCUGGUGGACUGUUGGGUGAGCUAGUUGGCUGAACCUAGUUUGGUGGAACCAGAAAACACAAAUUGGACUAGGGCUUCUAAUAACUAUUGGGAGCCCUAAGCUCCUAAUAGUAUAUAUAUAUAUAUAUAUCUUUUCUUUUUUUUACUUUAAAGACCCAUCUACAGUAUAUGAAAUGUAUUUCUUUUCUAGGUGGAACCAGAUUCCAGGUUUUAUUUUGCAUUAGUGAUGAGUAUUCUGCAUCCAUGACUGCUUUCCAAUUCUUAAGAGCAUCUCCAACAGUUAUGCAAUUGGACUUUGCAUUCUUGAAAUUUGCCAAAAACCUUAAAAAUUGCUCUCCAACAGUUUUGCAUUUGACUUAUGCAUUUUGGCAAACUUGGCAUUUGAUGGACCAAACUUGGCAUUUUUGCAUAGGCACAAUGGCUUGGCAAUUUUGAUAUCCCGAGAAUCUUGGACUCCUUGUCGUGCCCGUACUCCCACGUCGUGGUAGUUUCCCCACGAGACGACUCCGUGUGGAAGCCUUGGGACCUGGAUGCCGCGGUGCACCCUGGGACUGUUGCCUCGAUCGGAUCUCGACGACCUGGUCCAAGCGGCGACAUGGACUUGCGGGAUGAACACGGCCGCGCGACGCGCGAGAGAAUUGGCGGCAACAGGCGGAGGAAUUGCGCGCGACGGGCGGAGGAAUUGCGCGUGAAAAAGAAAGCGCCAGCGCGACGCGCGAGAGAAUUUCCCGCGGAGAUGAAAGAUUCCUGGACAAAAAUAGUUUGGUCCACUAUUUUGGGAAAUGCCAAGUCAAAAAUGCCAAACACUUGGACGUUUAGGGACUUGGCAAACUCUAACAAAUGACAAAUUCCAAUUGCAUAACUGUUGGAGAUGCUCUGCACAGCUGCUUCUUGAUUUCGAGGCUCAUCAGCUCAGGCUAGAAAAUUAAAGGAAGAGCGCUAUUUUUGGGCUGUCGGAGGGUUUUCCACCGAGACAUGGGCCUAAACUGAAGGCCCGCCAGUUUGAAGAGAAGUCUUUGGAAGAGAAGUCUCGUACAAGCUCGGUGGCCCAAAGAAAUGUCCUUGGAUGAAAAAAACAAUAUUGCCGAAGGAGAAGUCCCCGGGCAUCUCCAAGAGUUUGGCAAUUUUGACUUGGCAAAAAAAUUAUACUAGUUCCGGAGAUCAGCGAAAAAGCAUUAGGUUGUCAGCUUCCUAUAAAAGCGCACGCAUGCAGUAUGCCAAGUCCAAUUGUCAAAUUGUUGGAUAGGAGAUUUUUUGAAAGUUUUAGCAAAAAAACAAAAAUGUCAACCUAUUUGCAAAACUAUUGGAGUUGCCCAAGUUAUUAAAACCCACUUGAGUUUGCAGCCAUCACAAAAUUUAGGGCAUUGGUGGCUCAUUUAUGUGUUGACAUGUGUCGCUUCAUGUUUUGAAAAAAAACUCCUCUAUCUUUCGAAAAAAACAACCCACAGUCUAGAGACAUUCCAACAAUCUCGCUCCUCCCACACCUGGCUUGGUCAUGAGCGGCUUGGGGACAAUCGAAACCCUAGCCGUCGUCCCCUCCUCCCUCCUCUGGGUACUGUCUAGCCGGCGUCGUCUCCUCCCUCCUCCCCUAGCCAUCGACGCAUCCUCCCUCCUCCCCUCUAUGCCUCGUCAUGUCGCACAGGCGCACCUGAAUCUAUGGGAGAAAUGGAGUGCGGCCCUACCUCUUCCUGGUGGUGUUGUGCCGCGGUCGCCUGUGCUCCCGCUCGUGGCUCUACGACGACGUUGGGGCUUGCCACACCACUGGGUCAUUCUACUCCGACCUAGCGCCUCUGUGAGAUCGAAGGACCCAUGCUGGCACUGCCAGAUCCGCUCAUCUGAUGAUCAGAUUCAUGCAGACAUGGUUGGAUCUACUCGCUUUUAGGUCGAAGUGCCCGGCUAUGAGUUUGAGGACAGUGGUAAGAUCUAGCGUGUAUUGUUUUUUGUUUUUUUGUGCCUAACAUCUUUGACAAUGAUGUUAGUAUAUACUCCUACAUGAGAAGUCAUGUUAGUGUAUUGACUCUCUUCUGUUGUAUGCUUGCUGAGACUUUUGUUCGUGAUUUCAUGUCUCCAAACAGCAGUAUCACUGAAUGGAUAUGGAAUAGUGAAUAUGUAGGUAUUUAUAUGAUAAUUCUCCAAGUGGACUCUGCUUAUUAUCCUGACAAAAUCGGCUUCCUUUGAUUUUGAUUUAUGUAAACAAGAUGAUUUGUGCGUUGACACCUACAAGGUUUGUCAUAGAGCAAGGAAAAAGCACCUUUACUGAGCAAGGUGAGCAAAAAUUCCUCAUAUAUGGUGCCUUAUUGGCCCCAUUAUGCCAUUUAGAAUGGAAUCUUUUCAAAAAAUUAACACUAGAGAACAGGUAGCAUAAGAAAUUGCUAGCAAAUCAUGCAUUUGUUUUUUUGCCAUUGUUUACAGAUUCGGAUGAGAGAAUAAUGAUACAAAAGCAAGAGGAAUGGAAGCGACAAUGCAAAAAUAAGAUAAUGUAAGCGGCACAUUCAGCACAUUGCUAAUUGAGCUUUGACUUCUAAACUUAUAACUGACAGUCUUAUGGUGUUGUGAGAAAUGGCUCUGUAUCAUGCUAUGGUGUCACGUUCUUUAGGUAAACUCAAAAGUCCUUCUACUAAGUGCAUGAUUUUUUUAUUGAUGUAUAUUAUCAUGGGCAUAAAAUCACUGCAGAUCCUUACCAUUUUGGUAGCAAUCUGCCAAGGUAGGAGCGGUGUGGAAAGUCCUUCCCCCUUCUUGUCAUUGCCUUGUUCCUCUGUUGCACUUAAUAGUAGCUCACUGCUGAGCUUGCCUAGGCUGAUGUGGGCUUGGAGGUCACCAACCCAAGGUCAGCUUUCCUUGUGGUCAUUGCCAUAUAAUUUCACUAUAUUUGCAUUUGCAAAAGAUCUGUUAGUAGAACAUCAGUUUCUACAUGUCCUUGUGGACAUGUUUCCACCUGUUUGAAUCUAAAGUUGGUUGUGGUCUUGGUUAGGAUAGUAUAUUAAGUCUUCAAUGCUGAAAUAAAUUUCUAUGAUCAUUUUGUGUGCUCGUAGCAUCAUAUUCUUAUGUGUAUGUAAUGUGGUAGUUUAUUUCUAGGACAUGUAUUGCUUGUCAAAGGAACAACAAAUAAGCUUUUUUUUGCUGAUAAAGAUACUGGUUUCAAAUACUCCACUUUAUGCUCCAGUUUCAUAUAACAACCACUUUAUGCUUGAAUCCUAUAUAAGAUGUGUUGUCUAUUUUAGCCCCAUUGAAAUUACCCCUUGUUAUAAAUCUAUAAACAUCAUAGUUGAUGUCCUUUUCUAUUUAUAGUGCAAUCAAAGAUGCCUAAUCUCUAGAAGAUGAAGAUCACAAUGCUUUUGACCAGAUCGGUUGUAGACAGCUAUAUAUGUGUUUGCAUAGAUGUGACAUGUUACGUCGUUGCCCAACUCUGUGUUUUGAAAACUUCAUGGUUGCAGUCAUGAAUUCCGGCCAUGAAGUGUAAUGUACGACUCAAUAGAGUGGUCAUACUUGUAAUGAAUGGUUGUAUAAUUUAUGGGUGAAUAGAAUCAUGAUGGCAGGGCACAAACUAUACUAUACAUGAUACUUAUAUAUUUUGUGCUAUGUAUCUAAUGAUAAUAUAUUCUUGAUCGGUGUGAUAGUGUUGAUGCAUAUGCUUGGUGUCUUAUCCAUAUUUGUCAUCUAUAAAUCGGUUUUUUGUUUAGAAAUCAUGUAGGGUGCCCGAAGGGCGCCUAAUAUUCUAGUUGAAUUCAAAGUCAGGCACGCUGAACGUCUCGUCCUACACAGCGCCACCUCAAUCACGAGUUAAAUCUGACUACAAAUAGAUUUUCUUAAAAAAAUAAAACAAAAUUUCAAAUAAUCAGAUUUUUUUUUGAAAGGUUGUGGAAUUAAAAACCAUUGCAAGAUUUUAUUAAAAAAUAAAAGAAAAAAAUUCAAAUAAUCUGUUUUUUUAAGAUUGUGGAAUUAAACCCAAAAGAAAGACCUUGAGUCACUAGUGCAUUGGGGAGUUUAAAGUCAAGUUAUUAAUGUGAGAAUAGAUAAAGGAAGACCGAAUUUGACAUGGAGUAGACAAUAAAGAGAUUUAAAAGAUUAGUAUAUACCUAGAUAUCUAUGUUUGCAUAGGAAAUACCUAGAAAUCUAUGUUUGCAUAGGAAUGCUUGCAAAACAGCUCAUGUGCCUAAGUGUGACUAGCGACUCAUGUUAGGUUUCAACUUUGGUCUACCCCAACUGGCCUAAGGCCUUGUUUAGUUGAAUUUUUUUUUGUAAAAUGAACACUAUAGCACUUUCGUUUGUAUUUAGGCCUUGUUUACUUCCCAGAAAAAUUUGCAAAAUUUUUCACAUUUCCCGUCACAUCGAAUCUUUAGACGCAUGCAUGGAGUAUUAAAUAUAGACGAAAAUAAAAACUAAUUGCACAGUUUGGUCGAAAUUGACGAGACGAAUCUUUUGAGUCUAGUUAGUCCAUGAUUGGACAAUAUUUGUCAAAUACAAACGAAAGUGCUACAGUGUCCAUUUCCCAAAAAUUUUCGGAACUAAACAAGGCCUUAACAAAUAUUGUCUAAUUAUGGACUAACUAGGCAUAAAAGAUUCAUCUCGCAAAUUAUAGGUAAACAGUGCAAUUAGUUAUUUCUUUUAUAUGUAUUUAAUGCUCCAUGCAUAUAUCGCAAGAUUCGAUGUGACAAGAAAUCUGAAAAAUUUUGCAAAAUUUUUUAGAACUAAUAACACUUGCAAAAGCUUUAGCUUUAGCGUACAAGGCCUGAGACUAAGGCUUUGCUGUUGUUAUUGUAGAGGUUGUGGAAUUUAAAACCCUUGUACGCAAACAGAAGCGGAGAGGAAUGCAAACAGAAACCGAUGGAUUUUUGCUCUAUUAGGUUAAGAAUAUGGGUCAACUUCGCUACCCAUGAGUUUAUUAAUGGGACAAAAGCUAGACCCAGCGGGUUUGUGGGCAUGGGUCUGGAUGUGUAGUACCCAAACCCGCAAACCCAUGGGUUUUUUAAACCCGAUUCACCAUAUCAUCACACAAUAUAAUUAGUAUAUAAAGUACAAAAUGCAAGAAAAAAUAAACAAAAUAGAAAACAUGCAUGCUCCAUACUUUUUUUUUAGUAGAAGCUCCUUAUGUGAAAGCUGCAGCUGGCUAGCGCGUCUUAGUGCAUGCACUCAGUUCAUCUGGACUCAAAGAUAUGCCAGAUGUUGGCACUGAGCAUUAGCAGGUCAUGGCCCGAUGCAUGCUAGAGGUGAGUGUUUCUGUCAGAACUCGCAAAUUUUUAGUGCGAAGGUGUAAUAACACAUAACAUGAGUCCCACCUUGCCAAUUAAUUCAACUUUAAGUAUUUUGGUGCGCUAUAGAGUAGACUUGCUCACUUGACUGGAUGACUAUCUUAUGACAUGCUGUGAUGGGCACGGGCAACCCGUUAAAUACCCGUGACCCGAUGGACAUGGGUUUGAACACAAAAUCAAACAUGUGACUGAUCAUGGAUUUUUUAGUGGGCAUAUUUUAUAUUAAUGGGCAUGGGUUUAGGAUGGCAAAACCCAACGGGUUUGUACCCUUUGCCAUCUUUACCCCCACCCCCACCACCCAAAAAAAAGUCACUGGUGUAUCAGUGAUGGAAUAAUUUGACAACAGCCCUGCGUCAUGUGAGGCAAGUAGUUUAGUCUGUGACUUCCGUGCUUCUCAUAUGCAUGCUUUCCCAUCCGGACAUCCAAUCCAGUAGGUAAGCACACAAAUUCAGCAAAGAAUGGGAAACCUAGCGACAGGUAACACCUAUAGUGGAACGUGAAGCAUGAAUGACAUUAUUGUUUGGGAAAAAAAAACGCUCUCCUUUGUCACGAAUCAGCAUGUUUCUUAAAAAAACACCAAGGCAAAUAAUAGAAACAAAUACUUACUAAAAGCACAGCAACAACAAAAAGCAUGAAAGACUUUCUGAUUCCACUAUUUUUAUAUAUCCCGAAAGAAAAAGUAGGAUGUCUCCAACUGAUAAUAUCUUGGAUGCAUCUUUUGUUUUCAGAUAAAUCCCUCAAUUAGAAGCAAGAUGAAUAACAAAAUUAAGCUUUUAGACCUAACUGGCACCCGCACCAAAGGAUAGCAAUCGAGUCUCACAAAACCUUUCACCAUUGGCUCAGUUAAACAAAGGUUCAUACCGUUUUGGAACUUAGAAGCCAAAAUAGGACUGGGAAGCGAACUUAAACAAAGACUGCAAAUAAAGAAUUGCAGCUAUGCAACCAUGGGGUUGAUAAACAGAAACUAAGACAAUCAUGGGUCAACACUUCCAGCCUGUUCGAUUGAGCUUAUCAGCUGAAUCUGUCAGCCAUUCAACAUUGUUUUUAUCUCACAACAAAUCAGCGAACAUUACUGCCAUAACUUAUCAACUCAUAACAAAGAGUAACACAAUUUCUAAGGAAAAAAAUCCCACCACAAGGCUCCAGACAUGUGGCUAAGUGAUGUAAGAGUUCUGACAAGAAUCCCAUGCCAUGUCAUGCAACAAGGAAAGUUAACCACUUCCUCACAUCUCAUAUGCAUGCCUUCCUAUCAAGUCUGGCGGUAAACACUCAUCUGACAAAGUCAGCAAAGGAAGAAAACCCACAAAGCAGCCACUGAAGCCAAACUGGUAACACCUCGAAACAAUCCUUAUGUGAACUUUGUUAGGCCAUUAAUCUUUGGAAACUAAAAACAAAUCCAAUCCUUUGUUGCAGCAACAAAACCUUUGCUAUAGUCACACAACAGAAGCUAUGAGCUAAAGAUUGAAUGCAAGGAUCAAAACACACCAGCAUUCGGUGCUAUAAAAUCAAGGAUAUAUAUUCUAUAGGAUGAAAAUUAAGCAGAAAAAAGGGAAUGAGAUAUAAAAUGUGUGAACUAUAGCUACAGGUUUAUAGGUAUUACAAUUAAGGCAGCCAAACAAAUUCAUGAAACUGAAAUAACAUAUCAAUACAUAACACAGCUUUAUAACUUCUAAUGCAUACAAGAUGGAUGCAAAUUCUAACAAGCAACUUAAGAAUUAUAUACAUGUAAAUGCUACCAAGCAUAACAUUCAAGCACAAAUAAGAACUUAACUACAGUGCCAAUUCCAACUAUUAACAAGACAAAAUGUAGCAUAGCUACUUGCUCUAAAAAUCCAGAAAUAACAAGGAAAACAACUGGUUCAAUCACAAGACAUAACAAACCAAGUUGUGCAAUCACACAAAACACAUAUACAAAAAAAAACAAAAAACUGAGAAAAUAACACACAGGGAAUAUUAUCGGUUAUAGGGCACAUAUGACCAUCGCAAGUUCAACAAGCAAGUUAAGAUGUGAAUCUACAUGCUACCGGGCAGGCGGGCAGAAUUCUAGGACCAAGAACAAACUAAAUUCAGUUCCCAUUAUCACCAUCACUAACACCAGAGCAGCUCCUUACUCUACAAACCGAGUUCAUUGCCAAUUCAGCUUCUAAUUAGCAAGUCUUCUGUUCUAUAACUAGAAAUGACCCACCACGAAUAUCAGUUGUCCACAACAUAAAUAAGCAACUAAAGCAAGCACAAAAGAUUAUCCUCCCAUGGCCUAACCUCAUUAUCCAAGUUUGGCAUUCUUUUUACUCCUCAGUGAAACAGGGCAGAAUUAGGAAAUCAGACCCUGAGAAUCUGAAGCUUAUUGGCAAAUGCAAUUGCAACCCAGUCAGGCUGGGUUGCCGACCACUGCAACUGCUCAAUCUCUGCCCCUGCUGUAUAUGCCAAAAUGGGAUCAAGACCGCCCUCAGCUGCUGCUGCCGCAGCUGCGUUACCAUUCCCAUUGCCACUACCAUUGCUACCAGUUCCCAUAGAUGACAAAUCCCAUAUCAGUGCCUGCAUGUCAUCCCCAGCUGUGCAGAUGUGGCAAGAAGAGUGAGGCGCCCACGCUAUGGCAUUGACAGGGGCAUGGUGACGAUGUAGCUCUACCACUGGCAGUGUUGGGUAGCGGAUAUCAAGCACAACCACCUUGGGGCUGUCCAUGAUGAUGGUGGCCAUGUACCUUGGGUCCUGCUUGUUCCAGCCCAACCUCACGAGUGGUGUCGGGGACGCAGUCCCACCAUCCCCGGCGCCCGAGUUGGAACCGCCGCCGCCGCCACCUGAACCAGACUCAUAAAUGAUUGUGGAGUGCUCCUUGUCCCGUAGGUCAAAGACGCGGACAGAGCCGUCGGCGGAGACGGAGGCAAAGACCCCCGCGCCGCCCCAGGCGAUGUCGUAGACCUCCUUGUCGUGGGCGAUGAGCUGGGUGUCGACGGCCUCGCGCUCGACGUCCCAGAUGGUGCAGGUGGUGUCGAUGGAGGAGGUACCGAUGCGGCGCGGGUCGGCGUCGUUCCAGUCGAAGGAGGUGAGCGGGCCGCAGUAGUCGCUGUUGCGGUUACCGUUGAGCUCGCAGCGCAGCUCGAUGCCCGGCUGCGGGGUGCCGUUGCAGCGGACGGAGCCGUUGUUGUUGUUGGCAGAGGCGGCGCCGUCGUCGGCGUCGUCGGGGGACGGGAUGCGCCAGAUGCGCAG